UAGACAUAUAGAGUCUGUCAAGAUCUCUGAACACACGCAGUGAAUCUCCCGUUUCCAGCUGAAAACAUUUGUUAACAUUCUUGAUCUCCAUCAAGACAGGCCGCAGAAAGUGCAUGUACAUGCUGUUUGAUUUGUCGCUGUACAUUUCGUUCAGAAUCCUGGCCGCAUAGCCGUGCUCUUCUUUGCCGGAAGCCAAACUGAAGUGUAGCGGGUAAAAGUUAGCAGCAGGUUGGAUAUUCGCCGGAUAUUCAGUUUUGCAAUCGGAUUCAUCGAGAAGCCCCUGACUGCAGCCCGCAGACGGAGCCCACAUGGAGGGGGCGGGCACUCAGUCCACAUGGAGGGGGCCGGCCCUCCGCCCACAUGGAGGGGGCGGGCACUCAGUCCACAUGGAGGGGGCCGGCACUCCGCCCACAUGGAGGGGGCGGAUACCGACUCGGAUCUCGGAUCUGACGCCACGCCCGUCCACAUCGAGGGGGCGGCCACUCAGUUCACAUUGAGGACUGGUCAAACAGCAUGUGCAGCAUCUGAUCCCGUUUCUGACCUGAAAUUACCUGAAAUUAGAGUGUGCCCGCCCGAGCUAGUGAUGCCUAAAACAUGCAAAGACACGUCAGUGUAAUUGUGAAUGGCGAGAGCCCUGAAAUACAGCUGGACAGCAGCGGUCUACAUCACUGCCCCUUCUGCAGAUACAAAGGGUCAAAAUGUGAUAUCGACCAUCACAUUAAAUGCCAUGCCUCGGUUAAAUACAGAGGUCUGCAGAGGAGCUUUCAGGAAGCAGGAAGAGAAGACGGGAGGAAAAAAAGCUACAGGAUAAAGAUCUCUGCACAAAAAGGGCUAGAGUUGCUCCAACAGCAUCCAGCUCUGAAGGAUCAGGUCAUGUAUAGACUGUUAAUCCAGACAAAACUGAAGACCAGGAACUGGAACCUGGGAACCUGGAAGAUUAUGUUGUCCUGAAGGACACAAUUCAGGCAGCAGCAUGGUGCCAGUUACAGUCCUUCAAGGACAGCGUUUCUCUCCCAGAGGUCAUUGGGAUGGAAGGUUGGGAGCAGAUGGCAGCAUCAACACAGCGCAAAUCCCAUGACGGCGGGGAUGAGGAAGAAACGUGGAAACCAUUCCAAUUCUCAUUCAGAUUACAUACUGACUAUGAACUGUUCUGUGUGGAGAUGAUGGACAGGAGAAACCUGAAGGUGUUUGCCUCUUUUGAGUCAAACACCUCUCCCCCUCCCCGUCCCCCUCCCCGUGACGCCUGCGCCACACGACUCCAAUGUAGUCUGAUGAUGCAGCAUAAUGGCGGCGCUUGGCAGCUAUGGCGGCGGUGACGGCGAUGUCGGGCGACAGAGCGUGAAGCAAGAGUGGCAUCCACCUCACUGAGGAAGGCGUCAGUGUGUUCCCCCUUUGUUGUUUGACUUUGUUUGUUCUACUCUUUAUUGAUUUAUCUUUUAUGUUAAUAGUUUACAAUCUAUUUUUUGUAGUUGUUAUUUUUUAAUUGUUUUGUUGAAUAAAAAGACAGUUGUUAGUGCUCCUGUGAUUGGUGUAACUUAAUGUGCUUCACACAUGUAGCUUUUCAUUAUGUCUAUUGAGGUACAUUUUUUGCCCUUAGAUGUGGUCACUUCGUUAUUCCUCACAUUACAUCUGUUAAGGUCAUACCUUUGGGUCCCAGUCUUCAUAGUUCCCCAAAUCUUAUUUUGGCUCUUACUGGGCCUGUAACUCACAGACAGACGGGUACAGGAGUUCGGACACGUUGCAUUGUUUACAGGCAAGGGUGGAUUACCGCACGGGCACACCGGGCACAUGCCCAGGGGCCCAAGGGCGGCCCUAAGCCAGAGCUUCUGUGUGAAGUCGCUGUUAGUAACUUUUAAUGUUGCAUUGUCAAAGCAAUCAGUAGAGAAAUACAAAAAUUCAAGCGAAAACGGCAAUAGUAGGGCUAUUAAUACUGAGUAAAAAAAAAAAAAAGAUCACUAGGGGGCACUGUUUCACUUAGUGAAUUUGAGACAGGUCACGAACAAGGCACUGUGAUUUAAACAUUGAGCAACGGCGAACGGUAGUAACGUGAACUCUUAAGUGGAACCUUAAUAGGUCCAUGAGUGGAACAGUUAAGCGAAAAAAAAAUAAACAAGAGAAUAUGUAUUUGCAAGUCGUUUAGGCUAUGCUUAACUUUAUAAUAGUUCCAUGGUACGCAGCAAGAAAGAUACCAAGUCACAAUACUCCCGUACCAUCUGUUUGUAUAGUUUAAUUAACAGCAUGGGCUCCCGCUAGCUUAACAUAGUAUUACCGUUUCUUGCAUUAACAAGAGCAGCAGAAAUCUGCUCAAUCGUCAGUGGUCGGAGUGCCCGCCCCCUCCAUGUGGACUGAGUGCCCGCCCCCUCCAUGUGGGCGGAGGGCCGGCCCCCUCCAUGUGGACUGAGUGCCCGCCCCCUCCAUGUGGGCUCCGUCUGCGGGCUGCAGUCAGGGGUACUUGGAUUCAUCCGGCUUAAUCAACACAAUUGCACUAUAUUACGGGUGUAGUAUGUUGAGGACAGUAUAGGACAGCUUAUCGACAAAGAAUCACACCGAAAUUAGUUGUUG
rnacentral:lncRNA from 1 species